UCCAAAAUGUGGUAGAUUUUUAUGCCACACCCACUCUAAAAUGUAUGAGUUGUAUGUGAACUAAAGUCCUCAGUUUAACAACACAUAUUGACAUAUAAUCUUAUCAAAAGCAAAUAUAGUUUUCAGGCUUUGGAAAUAGCAACUAGUUCUCUUGAAAAACUAAAACAUCUUUUCAUCUCAUUUUAGCUGUUUGUUGAGAUAAUUUUAAAUUUAACCCUUAAAACGCGUGUGGUAGUUUUAGCCUCUAAACAUCAAAAUAGUAAUUCCAUUUUCUAUGCACUCAUUGUAAUACAGCUCAGCACUUUGAGGGUUAACAUGUGGGGUCUAGUUCUCUUAAAGCAAUAAAGUAUUCUUUCAAUCAUUACUAGCAGGUAAAAUUGAACUUGCUUUCAAGGCCAAUCAACUAACACUUGUCCAGCCAACCUAUAGAAAGUGGCUAAAGCAAUAUCUGAAAGUAUUCAUAUU